rnacentral:lncRNA from 1 species
AGGUGAGGAAAAAGAGACAAGAGUUUGGCAGCAAGUAACUUCCAGAGCUGGGAAUCAAGCUAAGGUCAGUGAAUGUAAUAUUAUCUAGAAAAACAAAACUCAUAGAUAAAGCAGCAUGAUAUAGUGGAAAGAGGUGGAAUCUGGCUUUGAAGACCUGAGUUAACAUCAAAGCUUGCUGACAUGGUGUAUCCUGAAAUGGAGAGAGUUAAAUGAAGAAUUUGAAAUCCUCCUAAGGCCAGAAACCUGCGCGUGCUUUGGAUGUAAGUAACAUUUGUCAAGCCUGAAUUUUAGAAAGUUUGUAUAACAUUUAAUUCAUUGUUUUAAUCCAAAGGAGAACAUCCUGUUUACUGAGCCCUCAGAGUUGUUGAAAUAUGAAUAUGAAAUAGGAAUCCUUUCAACAUCCCAGAUUGUUCCUAUUUUUAUUUUUAUGUCUGAGAGUAUGGAUGUUCAGAGACGUUAAGUAACAUACUCUAAAUAACAUAGGUAAAAAGUACCAGGGCCAGGAUUUAAACCUGGUUUUGAUCAUUUUAAGGCCCAUGGGAAGGCCUACCACUUGCUAUCAAGACACAUAAAGCACAGUGCCUAGAGUGAGCUAACAACCUAUUAUAGAUUCCACAUGCAUCCCAUUUUCUGAGGCUUGUUAAAUUGUCUGAGAAAGGGCAUUAUGAUCAGUUUUCUUCAGUAAAUUUCACCAGUUUGGCCAAAGCCACUGAGGCAAGGUGACCUGAACGGCAUGUUGGUUAAUGUAGAUUCAAACCUGGAUGGUUGUUUUAUUUCUUUGUGAUGCUUGCCUGAUCUGGAAAGAAAGCAUAUCCUGUUGACUGAAGGAGAUUGGAGGUCAAAAACAGAAUGAGGAAAAUGGGGAUAGAGAAUUAUUGGGGCUCCUAAGCGAUAUGAAUGGAAUGGAGAGAAUCUGACAAAAAACGUUCUAUGGGGGACUUUUCCCUUGAUUAAAUUAGAGCUAUUUGAAUAGCUAAUUGAAUGAUAGGGUCCAGGAGAAAAGAGCAGCAACCUUAUGUAACCUUUCUUCUUAUAUUUUUAAGUCGUUGGGCAGUUUUACAGCACACCACAUUAGGCGGGAGCAAAGUUUCUUUGCUCAUGGUGAGUUAGCCUCAGAAAUUUCUACACAUACAUCUUUUAAGGAAGAUGACUGUAUAUUUUGGUCAAAGCUAGUAAGGUCAUUGCUUUUGUAUGUUGCUUAAACCUUUCCUGAUAAUGCGCUAUGAACCUCCCUUCCUAUCCCCUGUAGUUGCAUGACUUCUGCUGAGAAUGGGUAGGGAUGCUCAGCCAGGCUGCUGGCUCCAUGCUACUUAGCUGUAACUUAAUAUUCCUAAGUGAAACUUGUUUUGGAGCUUAAGAACUCUGGGAAGUAUUGGUUGCUCCUUCACAUUUCCUGCCACAAACAUUUCCAACUCUCCUUGGAGCAUAAGAGGUGUGGGAGGGGAUGGUGAGGUCUGAGGCAGCCUGCUGUUUGGUGGGUCACAGUUUCCCCUCACCAGGGCUCCCUUUACUCCUUUUGAGUGUGCUGAUAUAGAAUGGGGAUGUGCUUGCAGCGGAAUUUAGUUGGAAGAGAAGGGCUCUGUGGGUCUGGAGUUCAGUCUUUCAGUCAUGGAGCUGGAGUGCCCUCUGCUGCUCUGGAGAGGAAGGUGCAUGAACAGCAUGGCUCUUGCCUGCACUUUGCUCCAGGUACAGGAAAAUCUCCAAAAUGCUCCCUUUGAAAACCAGUGCUCGGUUGAUCACUAAGCAUCUGGUUUCACUCAACUGUGGGGACUUUGGCUUUUUCAAGGAAAUCUCAUUGAGGCUGAGUAUGCAACCAGACCAGAGCCCACGUGGAAGGUAGCUUUCCUUCGGUCAAAAGGUGUGACAGCCAUUUCAGGAUAGGUAUUUGGCUUAUUUUUCAUGAGUGUCAGUGUCACCAUGAAAUAAGUGUUUAUUUUGUGUGUGAUCAAUCUUUUCAUAUAUAUCUGGGAUAACUGAAUAUUGUUAUUCCAGGUUUGGAGGUUUCUAUAUAUUUUCCUUUUGCAGUGUGUAAAAUCAAUGUUGAAAAAUGUUCUUUGUGGAAAAUGCAAGCAUUUUUAAAAAACAUUUCUUGCUUUACUUUUUAAUGUAUUUUAUCAUUCUGCAGUGGCAUAUUUUUAUAUAGUCUUAUAAUUUACAACCACUUUCUCAUAAUCUCAUUAAAACAUCCUGGUAAAUCUGAUAUAAGCUAUGUAGCUCCUACUUUAUAGACAGAAAAGCAAGUUUAAAGUCAUACCCAGUCAUAUAAGCGGUAUCAGAAGUGAGAACUGGGUCAGCUAAUGUGCUGAGCUCCAGGAAAAGGAUACCAGUGAAUAGUUAUUUAAUACUUAACCAUUUGUUAGCACCAUAAUAGUGUUUUUAAAUUAAUUAAUUAAUUAAUUAAUUAAUUUUUGUCUUUUUGUCUUUUUUUAGGGCUGCACCCGUGGCAUAUGGAGGUUCCCAAGCUAGGGGUCUAAUCGGAGCUGUUGCCGCUGGCCUAUGCCAGAUCCACAGGAACGCCAGAUCUGAGCAUAUCUGCAACCUAUACCACAGUUCAUGGCAAUGCCAGAUCCUUAACCCACUGAGCAUAGCCAUGGAUCAAACCUUCAACCUCCUGGUUCCUAGUCGGAUUCAUUUCCACUGUGCCAUGGCGGGAACUCCAACUGUGUUUUUUUUAAUUCAUUGCUUACUUAUUUUUUACAUCAACUCAAAAGGUAGACAUUAUUAUAGCUGUUAUUUUAAUAGAUAUUAAAAUAGAGGCUUUGAGAAGUUACUAAUAAAGAGUCAAACAGACAGUAAGUGGAAAAGCUUUGUUUCAAACCCUGCUCCAUCUGAUGCCAGAGGCCCUGAUGUAUGAACAAUAUUUAAUAUGAAGAGAAAUCCCUGGCCUCAAGCAAUUUAGAGUAGUUUUUUUUUUGAUGCGAUAAUAUAUUUAUGAUAUAUGACAUAAAAUUUACCAUUUUAACCACCUUUAGGUGUAAAGUUCAAUGUCAUUAAGUACAUUCAUGUUGACUGAAUGAUAGUCCAUUUUAUGACUAUACCAUAUUUUAUGUAUUCAUCCCUUGAUGGACGUUUGAAAUGUUUCCACCUUUUGCUUAUUGUGAAUAGUGCUGAUAUGAUAUAAAUACCUGUUUGAGUUACUGCUUUUGGUUAUUUUCAGUGUAUACCCAGAAGUAGGGCUGCUGAAUCAUAUAUUAAUUCUAUGUUUAAAUUUUUUUAAGGAACUACCACUCUCUUUCUCACAGUGGCGGCACUAUUUAACAUUCCUACCAAUGGAGAACAGGGCUGGUUCAUUCGUUCGUUCUUUCUUUCUUGCUUUCAUAGCCUAAUGCAUGUGAGGUAUCUCAUUGGGGUUUUAUGUUUUAAAGUUUUAAUUUUUUUUUUGCUUUUUUGGAGGGGCCAUACAUGCAGCAUAUGGAAAUUCCCAGGUUAGGUGUUGAAUGGGAGCUGCAGCUCAGGCCUGUGUCACAGCCGUAGCAACAGGGGGAUCUGAGCUGGGUUUGUGACCUACACCACAGCUCGUGGCAAUGCUGGGUCCUUAACCCACUCAACAAGGCCAGGCAUUGAACCCACAUCCUCAUGGAUGUUUCCACUGAACCACAAUGGGAACUCCCUCAUUGGGGUUUUAAUUUGCAUUUCCCUAAUUAUUAGUGAAGUAUAAUAUCUUUUCAUGUGCUUCUUGGCCAUCUAUAUAUCUCUUUGAGGAAAUGUCUACUAUUUCUUAACUGGGUUUUCUUUGGCUGUUGUUGAGUUGUAUUGAGUUCUUUAUAUAUUCUGGAUAUUAAUUCUUUAUCAGAUGUAUGAUUUGCAAUUGUUUUCUCUUUUACUCUAUGGCUCUUUACUCUGUUGAUAGUAUCCUUUGAUGCACAAAAUGUUUCAAACAUUUUGAUGAAGUCUAAUUUAUUUGUUUCCUCUUUCAUUGCCUCUGCUUUUGGUAUCAUAUCCAAGAAUUCAUUGCCAAACUCAAUGUCAGGAAGCUUUCCCCUGUAUUUUCUUCUAAGAAUUUUAUAGUUUUAGUCCUUACAUUUGGGUGUUUGAUCUAUUUUGAGUUAAUUUUUUGUAUAUUGUGAAACUAAGCAUCCAGCUUCAUUCUUUUGCAUGUAGAUAUUAUUUUCCUUAUAAUAUUUGUUAAAAUGGAUGUCUUUUCCCCAUUAAAUUGACUUGGCACACUUGUUGAAAAUCAUUUGGCCAUAUAUGUUAGGGUUUAUUUCUGAACUCUGUAUUCUGUUCAUUGGUGUGUGUGUUUGUCUUUAUGUCAGUACUACACUUUAUUAAUUACUAUAGCUUUGUUUGAAGUUUUGAAAUACAGAAGUGUGCAACCUCUAGUUUUGUUCAUUGUCAAGAUUGUUUUGACUAUCUGAAGUCCCUAGAAAGUCCAUGUGUUUUAGGUUGGGUUUUUCUAUUUUUGCCAAAAAAUGUCAUUGGGAUUCUGAUAGUGAUUGCAUUGAAUCUAUAGAUUUCUUUGAGUAAUAUUGACAUUUUAACAAUAUUGUCUUCUGAUUCAUGAAUGCAGACUGUAUUUUUAUUUAUAGAUGUCUUUUAAAUUUUUAUUCAGCAAUACUUUAUAUUUUUCAGUGUACAAGUCCUUGGUUAAGUUUAUUCCUAAAUAUUUUUUUUCUUUUAGAUGCUAUUGUAAAUGAGAUUUUCUUAAUUUUCUUUUUAGAUUGUUCAUUGUUAGUGUACAGAAAUGCAACUGAUUUUGCAUGCUGUUUUUGUAUCCUACUACCAGUUUGCCAUUUUAACUUGAGCCCAUAUCUUUUAACCAUGUCUCAUGUAUUUCCUACUCUUUCACAGUGGUCAACAUGUGAAAAUGACAAUUAAUUUCCAUUACACAGAAAUUUUGUUCUUAUGUCAAACUUUACCAAAAUUUGUCUGCCAUGAGUUUUUUUCAUGGAGUCCAAACAUUGUCAGCAAUUCAAUUAAUGAAAAAGAAAAUCAAUCUGAUUUUCCUUGUCUCUAUGUUAUGCCUACACUUAAUCUGAAUGACAAAGUUUUAACUUCCAGAUGCACAAAUUGGUUUGGUAUUAUAUUGACACAGCUACAGUUCUCAAAGUUGUUAUAAUCUGCACAAAGAAAACUAAAAACUAAAAUAUGCAUUUGUUUAUUCAUUCAACUUUCCAACUCAUGUUGACUUGGGUCAUAUAGUUUAUCCUAUUUGAUUGCCUAUUCAGCUAGAUAAAAAGCAUAGUACCAGUUUAAAAAAUAGACAAUUUAAUACAUUGGCCAACACCUGAUAAGAAUAACGCACACAAAUCUGUAAGCCAAUUUCACUUAUGAGUGUACAUGCCAAAAUUUGAAAUGCAGUUAUCAAAUUCUUAUUAUUUUAAAUAAAGACUAUACUACAUAUAGUAUAAUCUAGUAAUUUAAGUAUACAAUCUAUGAUCAUGAUUUAUCACAUCAUACUGUAAGGAAAAAAAACUUGUGAAACCCUCUGAUAAAUGCAUGAAGCAUUUAUAAGUGCAACAUAUAUUCAUGAAUCAAAAUAUACUUUCAGUAAACCAUAGAUACUGUACCUCUUUUACACAACUACAAAUAAUGUACUUAAAACUAAAGCCAAUAUCUACUUAGUAGAAAAUUCAGAAGGUUGCUGCUUUCAUGUAUCAUAAUUCCAGAAGUUCUAAUCAAUGCAUAAUAAUAUUAGUACAUCUACUAAUAAGUGUAUUUAAAUAAAAGUAGAUAACCAUAACAUGUGUAAGCAAUAAUUUUGUUGACCUGGAAACCAAACUUAAUCAAUUGGAAAACUAUUAGAAAGUAAUAAUGGAGUUUUCAUUGUGACUCAGUGGGUUAAGACCCCAACAUAGAGUCUGUGAGGAUGAGGGUUCCAUCUGUGGCCUUGCUUGGUUGAGUUAAGUAUCUGGUAUUGUUGUAAGCUAUGAUAUAGGUCACAGAUAUGUCUCAGAUAUGGCAUUGCUGUGGCUGUGGUGUAGGCCUGCACUUGUAGCUCCAAUUCCACCCCUGGCCCAGGAACUUCCAUGUGCUACAGGUGUG